AACGAACGCUGGCGGCGUGCCUAAUACAUGCAAGUCGAACGAGAAAGUGGCUUCGGCCAUGAGUAAAGUGGCAGACGGGUGAGUAAUACAUAGAUAAUCUGCCCCCAAGUUGGGGACAACCUUCCGAAAGGAGGGCUAAUACCGAAUGAGACCACAAGCACUAAGGUGCUAGGGGUCAAAGGUGACCUCUACUUGUAAGUUAUCGCUUGGGGAUGAGUUUAUGCACCAUCAGCCUGUUGGUAGGGUAACGGCCUACCAAAGCUGUGACGGUUAGCUGAUCUGAGAGGUUGAUCAGCCACACUGGAACUGAGACACGGUCCAGACUCCUACGGGAGGCAGCAGUAGGGAAUAUUGCGCAAUGGAGGAAACUCUGACGCAGCGACGCCGCGUGGGUGAUGAAGGCUUUCGGGUCGUAAAGCCCUGUCGGCAGGGAAGAAAAAUCCCAUGGCUAAUAUCCAUGGGACUUGACGGUACCUGCAGAGGAAGCACCGGCUAACUACGUGCCAGCAGCCGCGGUAAUACGUAGGGUGCAAGCGUUGUUCGGAAUCAUUGGGCGUAAAGCGCGUGUAGGCGGUCAAGUAAGUCUUGUGUGAAAUCCCUGGGCUCAACCGAGGAAGUGCAUGGGAAACUACUUGGCU
rnacentral:rRNA from 1 species